rnacentral:rRNA from 1 species
UCACCUUUUUAAAAAGAGUAAGAGGACGUGAAACCGAUGAGGUGGAAACGGAUAGAGCCAGCGUAUCUGGCCUGUAUUCAACUGCAUUGUUGUGAGCAGUUGGGCGCUGCAUCUCCAGAUUGGGACAGUCCUAGCUUGCAAGCAACAAUGUUGUGCAUUUGCAGGUCGAGUGCGCCGAGACUUUCGAGAAGGCGAUAUGAGCUCAAUUUUGAGGCCAGCUUGCUGGUACCCGGAUUGGAGGAAUGUUGUUCGUUUUGGAUGUGAAUGGGGGAAAGGUUUUCGGGCUCCAAUGGGUUCAAAUUGGGGGGGGGGGGCAGUUUCAUGCAACAUUGGCCUUCCGCCAAUUCGGUCCUGGGCAAACUCACAAUCCCCCUCUCGGGGAAAAAGUUGGACAUCUUUCCAACCCGUUUUGAAACCCCGACCAAGGAGUUUAUCGGGGGCCCAAAUCAUUGGGGGUUGAAAACCCAAAGGCCCAAUGAAAGAAAAAAAUCCCCAAGGAUACAACGGGGGAUCCGAACAACCACAAUUGCCUGGAACAACAUGGCCCCAUUCGGGUCCCUUGCAACCGGGUGGAAAAAAAACGUACCCCGGGAAACCCCAAAAAAGGGGAACUAUUCCUGAACUGUAAAAGCCCAAAAAAACUCUGGGGGAAAUCCAAAACUAUUUCAAAUGGAAAAAAAACCUCAAAAUUGGUUAAUGGGGCAAAAAACAAUCUAACCUCAAAUACGGGGUCCCUCCAAAAU